rnacentral:rRNA from 1 species
GACGAACGCUGGCGGCGUGCCUAAUACAUGCAAGUCGAACGCAGUGGGGACGGGUGAGUAACAAGUGGGUAACCUCCCAUCAGAGGGGAUAACACUUGGAAACAGGUGCAAAAACGAUACUGAUGGAUGGACCCGCGGUGCCUUAGCUAGUUGGUGAGGUAACGGCUCACCAAGGCCACGAUGCAUAGCCGACCUGAGAGGGUGAUGAGCCACACUGGGACUGAGACACGGCCCAGACUCCUACCAUGACCAUCAGUAUAAAAUAUUCGGCAAUGGGCGCAAGUCUGACCGAGCAACGCCGCGUGAGUGAAGAAGGUUUUCGGAUCGUAAAACUCUGUUGUUAGAGAAGCGGUAUCUAACCAGAAAGCCACGGCUAACUACGUGCCAGCAGCCGCGGUAAUUC